ACUUUCAACAACGGAUCUCUUGGUUCUGGCAUCGAUGAAGAACGCAGCGAAAUGCGAUAAGUAAUGUGAAUUGCAGAAUUCAGUGAAUCAUCGAAUCUUUGAACGCACAUUGCGCCCUGUGGUAUUCCGCAGGGCAUGCCUGUUCGAGCGUCAUUACA
rnacentral:rRNA from 1 species